rnacentral:misc_RNA from 1 species
AAAGUCGUAACAAGGUUUCCGUAGGUGAACCUGCGGAAGGAUCAUUACAGGAGGGAUUGGAGGGGGGAUGAGGAUGAGUUGAAAUGUGUGGGGGAGGGAGGGAUGAGGAGGGAUGGGCAUGCAGUGAUGUGUGUUCUCUUUCUUCAUUUUCAUUUCCCCAUCGCAUCAUUAUAUUUAGCCAUACACAAUCUACACCAUUUACAACUUAUAACAAUGGAUCUCUGGGCUCUU